GUUCCCGUAGUUGAGAACAACGAUGGCUUUUCAAGCCGUAGGUCCUUGGGGUUAUCCAAGCGGGAAUA
rnacentral:tRNA from 1 species